ensembl:lncRNA ZNF37BP zinc finger protein 37B, pseudogene
AGGGAGGGCUCCCGGCAUCUCCCUGCUUCGGGGCAGAGGAUGCCGGGGGUAGAGUACGGGAGGGCUGGAGCGAGGGUGGACUGGAGGUGCCGCUUGUCCUGGAGGUGGGAGAGAGGGAGCGGCUUUGCCGCCUGGCCUGCGUCCUAAUCCUGUCCUGGUUCUUCUGCUCCCGAAGGGAACGUCGCAGCUUCAUGGCCUGAUGCCUUCAGGAAGUAUUUUGAAGUCAUCGUGGCUGUGGAUUGGGGGAUUUCUUGUUUCCACUGACCUGUGAGGCCGCGCACGUGGAGGGAGGCACCCCGGGUCCUCCGGCACUGUCCGGCCUCGCCUGUGUCCCUAGUAGCAGUGGGCAUUUCCAGACGGUGCAGCUUGUGGCUAAAGUGACAGGAAGAUGUAGGAGCUUUCAGUCUUGGAUGAGGAUUCGAACUGAAGGGCUUAGGCCCAGCUGUCUUGGAGCAAAACAUCUGUUGUGGGACUCCCACAGGCUGGGUGAUGGUGGGAGAUUUGUGCCCAUUCAGAUGUGGCGGCAGAGGAGGGCAAGGCCGAAGGAGCAGACAGCACCGCUUCUUGGGGAGUUGUGAAGGCAUCAUGCGGAGGGCCGAGCUUAGCAGCCAAGUGGAGGACAGCACCCUCCAUGCCUGGAUUCGUUACUCGCUCGUUCUCGAUGUUGAGCUGCUGGCAUAUUGCAGCACAACUAGAGAUGUACGGAUGCCCCCAUCUUGAUCUUACAGAAUCAGAGGUGCAGCCGCAAGAAAGCUACACCCUCUCGGUUUUCUCUGCUCUGCCAACACUAGUGGAAUAUGAUCACAUCCCAGGGAUCAGUGUCAUUUAGGGAUGUGACUAUGGGCUUCACUCAAGAGGAGUGGCAUCAUCUGGACCCUGCUCAGAGGACCCUGUAGAGGAAUGUGAUGCUGGAGAACUACAGCCACCUUGUCUCAGUAGGGUAUUGCAUUCCUAAACCAGAAGUGAUCCUCAAAUUGGAGACAGGCAAGGAGCCAUGGAUAUUAGAGGAAAAA